GAUGAACGCUAGCGGCAGGCCUAACACAUGCAAGUCGAGGGGUAGGGUUAGCUUGCUAACUUGAGACCGGCGCACGGGUGCGUAACGCGUAUGCAAUCUACCUUGUACAGAGGGAUAGCCCAGAGAAAUUUGGAUUAAUACCUCAUAGUAUCUUUACCUGGCAUCGGGUAAUUAUUAAAGUUCCAACGGUACAAGAUGAGCAUGCGUCCCAUUAGUUAGUUGGUAAGGUAACGGCUUACCAAGACAAUGAUGGGUAGGGGUCCUGAGAGGGAGAUCCCCCACACUGGUACUGAGACACGGACCAGACUCCUACGGGAGGCAGCAGUGAGGAAUAUUGGUCAAUGGACGCAAGUCUGAACCAGCCAUGCCGCGUGCAGGAAGACGGUCCUAUGGAUUGUAAACUGCUUUUAUACAGGAAGAAACAACUCUACGUGUAGAGUCUUGACGGUACUGUAGGAAUAAGGAUCGGCUAACUCCGUGCCAGCAGCCGCGGUAAAGUAGACGU
rnacentral:rRNA from 1 species